rnacentral:lncRNA from 1 species
GACAACAGCACUCAGACUGCCUCUGCCCUGCCGCAGCCCAGAUUACUGCGUGCUGGCAACGGACAUGGGGGGAAGCUGAGACAACACCGCUCCUCCGAGCAGGGAGCUGGCUUGAAUGAAGACGACAGCUCUCAUGAGGUGAGGGUUAGGUUUUCCAGCACCGGGGCUAUGAUCUGGGACGGAGGAGACUCAGUGAGCUGUCAGAUCUUAUGAUCUCACCAGUAGGUACUACUGCCUUUGAGAUAAUCACCUC